CUUCCUCAUGUCAGAAUCAGGGGGAGGGCACCCCCACAGAAACAUUUAUUAUUAAGCAUCUGAAGAGAUGCUCUGGAACCAUCCUGAUUAGCGAUUCUUCUCCAGGCCCGGUGAAGUCACUUCAUCCUGCCUCCUGAGCUGCACUGAUAAGGUCCUGAGAUGCCACCAGUCCCAACUGACUGCCAGUGCUGAGCAAGAGGGGGACCCCUGGAGGGGACUGCCUCUGUAGACCUCUGCACUUAAACCUGGCCAUGGGCAGUGUUCUCUUGGCUGGGGAGAGAGGAAGGAUUGUGUGUCUGUGAAAGCAGCAGAGAGAAGAUCAAGGGUGUAAAACAUAAAGGUGAAGAGUCUGGGAGCCCCGCUCGCAAGGAGUACAGUCUGGCUGUGAAGACACAAUCACAAAAAUGUAACGAGUCCUUUCCAUUUGUGCAAAGGUGUGUGUCUCUGGUAUUCCCAGUUCAGUCUGAGCAGACGUGUACCAACAAAGCCUGUUGCCUCCCCUGCCCAGCAUGAUUUUCUACCAUUCCUCUGAUGGCACAGCUUGCAUGUGGAAACCAGGCCCUCACCAUGUGAUCCUACCUUGUUCAGUUUGGAAAAUAACUCAUAAGAAAGCUAAUUUAAAAAAAAAAAAAAACAGCAGUUUCCUUAAGGCCCCAGAUGGAAUGUCUUCUCAGAAGCAAAGCAUAUUCAUUGCAGAAGAAAAUAAUGAAAUACAGAUCAGUGAAAACAAGAGAAACAUCCAUAAUUCACCCUAUCAAAGAUAUCCAUUGUCAUCUUCCAGACUCUUUGUUGUGAAGCGGUCUAGAAGCCUCAGUGGUGAUGUUCCCUGCAAGAAGCUCCGAGUAUGGGAGUUCCUUUCGAGCACCCCAUUCAACCUCACCAUUGCUUUUGUAGCGAAACCAUGUUUGCUGGAACACAGGUGUUAAAAUUCUGUCUUCUUUUACACAGAGGUAAAAGCUUUUGCAAGAUCAUAGCAAGGGUAUUAAUAUUAAUAAUAAUAGUAAUAAGGAUAAGAAGGCAAAGGAGGCGAGGUGGGAAAAAGUUGAAGGACAACCCAGCAAUACAAAGCAAAUCAACAAUACAAUACAAAGCAAUACAAUACAAAUCAAAUCAGCCCUUCUCAUCCUGUUGACAAUUCACCAGUUGCACAAACACUUCUUGCCAGUAUCUAUAUGGGUUAUGCCAACUGACUAAUCUUAAUGGGAAAUAAUGCUUUUUAUAAACCCUUUCUAAUAAAUCUGCUUUCAAGCAGAAGAUCCUCA
rnacentral:lncRNA from 12 species